GCCCAUCGAGUUGAAAAAUACAUCGCCACUGGAAAAACGAAAGAUAUAAGCAAUACACCAUGGAGAGAGAGUGUGUGUGUGUGUCACACAUCCCCAAGCAAUAUUCGACCCAGCAAGCACAUGCCUAUCGUGUAUUUUCGUUGUUGGAAGGUGGUGCAACAUUACAUAAGUGCGCGGCUGGCGUCCAUCUCCUAGACCGAUGCGCUUUCUCGUGUUGAUUGGCGUCCAGCUGUCACAAAAGCCUUGGCACAUCGUCGUCGGAGCUUCGGGCUUGGCUGCACACCACGCAGGCCAAGGCAGCCAGGCAGGUGCACGAUAGACGGGCGUUGUAGCACACGGACAUACAUGGGAAUGUAGCAGCAGAGUGGCGCAUGGGAUGCUCACGUGGGCCACGACACGACCGCCUCCGCCAUUCUUCUCUCUGCAAUUUCCUUUCUUUUUCUAAUAAUAUUACAAACUAGAAAAAUGAUUUAAUUUUUUUGAACCAAAUUUAUUUAUUAGAAGGGGAGUAGUACUAAUUAGAAGAGGCCUUAUUUGCUUCAAUUUGUGAAAACGAGUCAGAUAUUCGCAUUGUUUUUGCUAUUUCAUUCGUUCGUUGCACUAUGACUUUAGCAUCUACCUGCUGGUGCAGAGAUGGUAUCUCGUCAAGAUGUGGCUGGCGUGUUUGGGCUAACUCAAGGGCAGCCCCAGCAAGAAGCUACAGAAGUCAUCAUUAUCCAAGAAGGAUGAAUUAGGUGUGAAAGUUUUGGACUUAGGGACAUGUGAAAUCCAAAUUCAUCAUACACAAGGGGUAUAUUGUGUUAUCAGUUUGUUGACUAGUGUCAGUUGUUGAUGUGGUUUCAGGCUUUAGCGGCUUACCAUUCCUUUUUCUCGUACAGUUGUACUUAUACAAGCAAUUCCAUGGGAAAUGUUGCGAGUUGAGCGUGACAUGUAUGUUCCUAUGCUUGCACAGGCCUUGGGAAUGACUGUUAAGUUACUAUCGGCUUAUUAGGAUUGGAGUUUCAUGCGUGUGGUA